AUGCAGGUUUUAAAGAGGCCGGGACUGCAGGAUUGCAAUAGAAGAAUUUGCAAACUUGAGCUUAAAGCCUGCUUUUCCAGACCCGGGGUAGCCAGGGCCAUAUCUGCGCCUGGGAGCCAGAAACCAGUUCCAGCACUGGGACGAUGGGCCUCAGAGAAGUUCUGGGUUAAAACUCAUGGAAAGCCAGGUGUUCUGUGCCUUGGGAAGUUAGUGCCAGGAGUUCCUGGAGGAGUGAGAGGGUGGGAGGAGGCACGUGAGCCUGUGAGGGCAUCUGUGGAGUUUUCAUUACACCGAAAUUUUGUGGUUGAUAAGGCCAGACACUGCCUGCCAGGAGGUUUUCUUGCUCAACCUUUGGAUUUAGACGUUUCUUUCUCCUUCUCUGGGUUGGGUAGUGUUCCUUGGUGUUUUCCAAAUCUGUGGAGUUGAGUUUGUUUGAUUUCAGUAUAGAAAUGACAGUAUUGGUUAGGAUGAAAAAUGGCAAAGCUUUGUUGGAGGAAGAGGAUAAAAUACAGAGAAAGGAAGGGCCUUAGCAGAAAGAAAAAAAAUCAAAAUGUCAGAGUUCUAUUUUUCACAUUGUGUAAAAAGCCCCCCCCCCCUAAAAAAAUAGAGUGCAAUAAAGAUUCAGUCUUGUGUGGGAGGAUCUCUGUG
rnacentral:lncRNA from 1 species